ensembl:lncRNA
AUGGUCAUUACUCUUUCAGAAGUAAACGACAUCAGUGGGCGUUUUCUUAUCAGAGAGCGUGAGACAUUUUUACACAUUUCGCCUUGCUCAUUCAACCGCCUCUCAUUUACAGUCUCAUCAUGCGGACCGCUCUGCUUCUCGCGGUGUUCUCGUGCUUUUCUCUUAUCGAGGGAAAGCCAUUCGAAGCGAUUCACAGCUAUCCUGGAUGGAAAUUCAGCAUACUUUUCUCAUCCCUUCAAAAACGUAACCCGUAAUGGAAUCAGUGUGACUUACUGUCCAUUUUCAGUCAUAUUCCAUGCCUCUUGUCCUAAUUAUGUCAAUCACCUUACAUGUUCUUGCACCAAUUCCACCAGCAUCUAUCCAGUGUUUAGCACAACUCUGCCAUCUAGAGAUUCAUCCUCCACUGCAAUCAAAACUAAUUCUUCAGUGAGACAACACUUUCAGAAAUUCCUCACAAAACAGAAGAAUAACAGUAGUAAUAAUUAUCCUCAUUUCGAUGUUGGUCGAGGUUAUGGAAUCGCAGACUGCAAAAACAAUAUGCUGCCAUUGCUGUUGCUGCCAUUUUUGUCAUAACCCUUGUCAUUUUGGCUUUCCACUCUGCAAG